rnacentral:rRNA from 1 species
AUUGAACGCUGGCGGCAGGCCUAACACAUGCAAGUCGAGCGGAUGAAGGGAGCUUGCUCUUGGAUUCAGCGGCGGACGGGUGAGUAAUGCCUAGGAAUCUGCCUGGUAGUGGGGGAUAACGUCCGGAAACGGGCGCUAAUACCGCAUACGGCCUGAGGGAGAAAGUGGGGGAUCUUCGGACCUCACGCUAUCAGAUGAGCCUAGGUCGGAUUAGCUAGUUGGUGGGGUAAAGGCCUACCAAGGCGACGAUCCGUAACUGGUCUGAGAGGAUGAUCAGUCACACUGGAACUGAGACACGGUCCAGACUCCUACGGGAGGCAGCAGUUGGGAAUAUUGGACAAUGGGCGAAAGCCUGAUCCAGCCAUGCCGCGUGUGUGAAGAAGGUCUUCGGAUUGUAAAGCACUUUAAGUUGGGAGGAAGGGCAGUAAGUUAAUACCUUGCUGUUUUGACGUUACCAACAGAAUAAGCACCGGCUAACUUCGUG